rnacentral:rRNA from 1 species
AUACGUAGGGUGCGAGCGUUGUCCGGAAUUACUGGGCGUAAAGAGCUCGUAGGUGGUUUGUCGCGUCGUCUGUGAAAUUCCGGGGCUUAACUCCGGGCGUGCAGGCGAUACGGGCAUAACUUGAGUACUGUAGGGGAGACUGGAAUUCCUGGUGUAGCGGUGCAAUGCGCAGAUAUCAGGAGGAACACCGGUGGCGAAGGCGGGUCUCUGGGCAGUAACUGACGCUGAGGAGCGAAAGCAUGGGUAGCGAACAGGAUUAGAUACCCUGGUAGUCCAUGCCGUAAACGGUGGGCGCUAGGUGUAGGGGUCUUCCACGACUUCUGUGCCGUAGCUAACGCAUUAAGCGCCCCGCCUGGGGAGUACGGCCGCAAGGCUAAAACUCAAAUGAAUUGACGGGG